CCUAUCAACCCUCAACCUCAAUCUCACACUCUCUCUCUCUCGUUCUUUUCCUCAAACCCAACCAGCCUUCCUCUUUGAUAGCGUGCAUGGAUCACGGCGAGGUGGGUGGCUGGUGGUCGGAUCACGGCGGUGGGCUCGAUGCAGAGGCAGGGGGCUCGACUCUUUCACUCCUUCGUCCUCCCAUUUCUCGCUCUGGCUGGGCUCGAUGACGGCUGGGGGCUCAAGGGCUCGACAGCGACUGGGGCCUCAGGGGGUGGGCUCGACAGCGAGUUGGGUUCUCCGGGCUGGCUAGGCUCGACGGCGGGGGGGUCUCAGGGGGUGGGAUCGAUUGCGCAAGGACGGGGCUGGCUGGACAGCACAGCUAGUGCUUUUUACAUCUCUAGAGAUAUAGCUACUGAAGCCAAACAAGUUCAUAUUGCCACAAGGAGCUCUGAUGUGAAAGCGGAAAAGCUGGAAAACUAGAACAAUAUAUGGCAGCCUUAACAUAUCUAAAUUUCUAUAUUUUUUUACCAUAUAUGAAAAUAUCAUUUUUUAUUAUCAAGGAAAAAUAUAAUCACUUUCAGUGUAGAUUUGGAUUGAAGCCAAACCAAGAUACGAGUCCUCUAAUAAUUUUGGAUUAGUGUUUCCUCUGUUUUUUUAUGAAUCUUGAGUGCCAUGUUUAGGAGUUCCUUAUCCAGAGAUAUGUUUUUGUGUUUCUAAGGCUCCAUGAUCAUGGCAGCCUUUGCUUAUUACGUUAAGUAGGCUUUGGAAGUAAUGAUAUGCUGAUUUAAACAUCGAAAUUGAACAGGUAGAUCAUGUUUACAAAGAUGGUAGAGUUGCUUUUCAAGAUGGAUUCUCAGCUUGUGCUGAUGCCAUUUUCUAUUGUAAACUUCAAAUGAAUUUUUUCUUUGACAGUGAUUGUGGACAAGAUCAAGUUCAAAUAUGAUCAUCCAUUUCUUGAAACAAAUGGAGUUGCAACUAUUGACGAAAACUGUGCUUGUUGAACCCUUAUAUCGUCACGUCUUUUCUCGAAGCUUGGCUCCAGGGCUCUCCUUUAUUGGUAUACUUGUAAAGGGUCUGCUCUUCAACAUAAUAGAGUUACAUUAAUCCAAGUGGAUUGAUGCCAAACAAAGAGGAAAUGAUGGCUUCCACUAAUGAUUUUUACAAGCAAAUGGAGGACCUUGGCUUGCCAAAACGCUCAGCCCAUUUCCUUGCACCAUAUCAGUUUGUUAUUGUGCAAUGGAGACUAACUGAGGUCUGUCAAAGAUUGGAGCAUGAUCUUGUGAUCCAGAGUUUUAAUGGUUUAUAUUGAAUGCAUUUCUUUAGCGCAAUACUAGACAACAUUGGCAGUUGAAGUUUUUAGAAUAAAAAAUAUAUUUCACUAACAUUGUAUACAUUUAUUGUUUAAUAUUUGGUGAUGAUAGAAUUUGAUUGUAGUAUAAACUAUCAUGUAAUAUGAUUUUGUAAGCCGAGUAGACUAAAUAUUGAAAUUAUAUCUUUGAGUAAUUAAUAAAAAAAUAUUUUGUUGUA